rnacentral:lncRNA from 1 species
GUCAGAGCGCACGACAAGACGUGGCCGGUAGCAGUCAGUCAACGAGGGUAAUAUCCCGGUGCGAGCCAGCACACGGGCAUACAGAGCGAGAGGUGGGCACCCGUCCCGGACACUUUACAGUAGGCUGGUUACCUCCUGUUACAAAUUCAUAUAUGAAGAAAAGCAAUCAGGUGGUCCUGAAUGGAAAAUUGCUGAAUUUAUUUACAACUACAAAAAGAAGAAUAAAACGAGAGUACUGGUGAGACAGACGGUGGUGAGGCUGAGGCAGGCUGUGAUGCAUGGAGGAGGAGGCAGAGGAGACACAGAAAGAGAGGAAGCCAGCAGAGAGAAAGGUUCCAUGACUUUAUGGAGACAUUUCUUCCCAUUCUUUCCAAGAAGUUGGAUACACAACAUCAACACUCCCAGUAAACUGGACACAUGAAUAUUUGUUGUGCUACAAGAGCUACACCAGAGCACCCACACAGACCAAGUCUCAAGGAACAGGUUGGCAAGGACACAGGAGAGGCAUCAUGGGAGGAACAAAACGGGAUAAGAAAUGUGACGACUGACUGAGUGAAAGAAGAAAACGUCAGAGAAAGAAGGAAAGAGAGAAGGAUUGUGCGUUCUCUACUUUCUCAGAAGUGCAGCCCCUAAAUUCCUGUUACUAUGCCUGAGAGAGGGAGGGCAGCAGACCAGUCAAAAUGAACCCCUACGUCACCUCUCACUUUAGGAGGGAUCUCUUUCCCCACUUCCACUUGUUGUAGAGGCUUCUCUUCUCUUCACCCCUCUCUUACUGUUUGUGUGACAUGGGUACACCUGUUUCUGUGUUAACCUAGGACAACAGGUAACAUCUGUCUCUGUAAACCUAGGACAACAGGUAACAUCUGUCUCUGUAAACCUAGGACAACAGGUAACACCUG